UCCUUUAGGUCCUGUCUUUCUCCGGAUUUAUUGGGUUUAAAGGGAGCGUAGGCCGUCUGGUAAGCGUGUUGUGAAAUGUCGGGGCUCAACCUGGGCAUUGCAGCGCGAACUGUCAGACUUGAGUGCGCGGGAAGUAGGCGGAAUUCGUCGUGUAGCGGUGAAAUGCUUAGAUAUGACGAAGAACUCCGAUUGCGAAGGCAGCCUGCUGUAGCGCAACUGACGCUGAAGCUCGAAAGCGUGGGUAUCGAACAGG
rnacentral:rRNA from 1 species